CGUCUCCUCCACCCUCCUCCUUUGGUGUGGAUUUAGCCCGAGCCGUCAAACGCUCGGGCUUUUCUUU
rfam:Azoarcus sp. KH32C DNA, complete genome.